CGGACGGGUGAGUAACGCGUGGGGAACCUGCCCUGUACCGGGGGAUAGCAGCCGGAAACGGCUGAUAAUACCGCAUAAGCGCACGAAUGUCGCAUGACAUGGUGUGAAAAACUCCGGUGGUAUAGGAUGGACCCGCGCCUGAUUAGCCGGUUGGUGGGGUAAAAGCCUACCAAAGCGAAGAUCAGUAGCCGAGUUGAGAGACUGACCGGCCACAUUGGGACUGAGACACGGCCCAGACUCCUACGGGAGGCAGCAGCU
rnacentral:rRNA from 1 species